GCCCAAGUAGUAUAGUGGGUUAGUACUCCACGUUGUGGCCGUGGCGCGACACAGGUUCGAUUCCUGUCUUGGGCA